rnacentral:rRNA from 1 species
GACGAACGCUGGCGGCGUGCUUAACACAUGCAAGUCGAACGGAAAGGCCCUGCUUUUGUGGGGUGCUCGAGUGGCGAACGGGUGAGUAGCACGUGAGUAACCUGCCCUUGACUUUGGGAUAACCUCAGGAAACUGGGGCUAAUACCGGAUAGGAGCUCCUGCUGCAUGGUGGGGGUUGGAAAGUUUCGGCGGUUGGGGAUGGACUCGCGGCUUAUCAGCUUGUUGGUGGGGUAGUGGCUUACCAAGGCUUUGACGGGUAGCCGGCCUGAGAGGGUGACCGGCCACAUUGGGACUGAGAUACGGCCCAGACUCCUACGGGAGGCAGCAGUGGGGAAUAUUGCACAAUGGGCGGAAGCCUGAUGCAGCAACGCCGCGUGCGGGAUGACGGCCUUCGGGUUGUAAACCGCUUUCGCCUGUGACGAAGCGUGAGUGACGGUAAUGGGUAAAGAAGCACCGGCUAACUACGUG